rnacentral:rRNA from 1 species
GGAUAACCUGCCCUUAGGUCUGGCAUAACCCCGGGAAACUGGGGAUAAUUCCGGAUAGAUCAUCGAUGCUGGAAUGCGCUUUGAUCCAAAGCUAUUGUGCCUAAGGAUGGGUCUGCGGUCUAUCAGGUCGUAGUGGGUGUAAUGUACCUACUAGCCUACGACGGAUACGGGUUGUGGGAGCAAGAGCCCGGAGAUGGAUUCUGAGACAUGAAUCCAGGCCCUACGGGGCGCAGCAGGCGCGAAAACUUUACAGUGCGGGGAACCGCGAUAAGGGGACACCGAGUGCCAGCAUCCUAUGUUGGCUGUCCAUAUGUCUAAAUCACAUGUGUUAGCAAGGGCCGGGCAAGACCGGUGCCAGCCGCCGCGGUAACACCGGCGGCCCGAGUGGUGGCCACUAUUAUUGGGUCUAAAGGGUCCGUAGCCGGUUUGGUCAGUCUUCCGGGAAAUCUGACGGCUCAACCGUUAGGCUUUCGGGGGAUACUACCAGGCUUGGGACCGGGAGAGGUAAGAGGUACUACGGGGGUAGGAGUGAAAUCUUGUAAUCCCUGUGGGACCACCAGUGGCGAAGGCGUCUUACCAGAACGGGUCCGACGGUGAGGGACGAAAGCUGGGGGCACGAACCGGAUUAGAUACCCGGGUAGUCCCAGCUGUAAACUAUGCUCGCUAGGUGUCAGGGACGGUGCGACCGUUUCUGGUGCCGCAGGGAAGCCGUGAAGCGAGCCACCUGGGAAGUACGGUCGCAAGGCUGAAACUUAA